UGACGCGUCUGUCUCACUCUGGGCACCAUGUCGAUGAGGAGCCUGCAGAAAUGAAGACAGACAGGGUCACCUCGACACCAGGAGAGCUUGGGGGAAACCGAGGCUGUUUGCGAGAGAAGAUUCUUGGCUCUGCCUCAACCAGAGAAACAGCCACAGGGCAUGCAUCAAAGGGAGGCAAGACAGAAAUGCAGGGAAAAUUGGGGGGGGGGCAUGAGAAGAGAGAGAAGCCCCUCCCCCAGGCAUCUGGCUAAGGCUUCUCACCAGCAGAGAAGCAGGAACCUCCUGGUAAUUAACAGCUGCUCAAGGCUUCUCUCCCUUCUUAGCCACAAGCCUGGAAUUUUCUGGGGAUCUCACUAGAAACCCCAUUUUCAAGGAAAGGACAUGUAUUAACCCCUCCCCUCGUGAUUCCUAGUUUCACCUUAUCAAGAUAUAGUCCAAGGCAUCUCCAGAGAGACGGAAAAGAGGAAAAAUGGGGGGGGGGGCAGUGCUUAGCAACCUUUUGAGAUGGAACUUGAGAGACACCAGAAGGGUCUACAUGGCUAAUCCUAAAACAGCUAAUUACUGUCCCUUGAGGAGUUCGCAUCCACACAGGGGUACAUCUUACUCCCGUAUUCUCCCUUGAGAAACAUAGUGGCAUGCAUGUGUAAUCCAGCUCUGGGGAGGGAGAGAUAGGAGGACUCCUGGGGCUCACUCGCCAGCUAGUCUAGUCACAACCCAAGGAGGACAGUGACUGAGGAACGACCAUGGCUGUCCUUUGGCCGCCACACGCAUGUGCAACUCAGUGAGGUACUCAGUACAGCAGUGGGAAGUGGGAGGUUCAGUGAAGCCGAACCACAGAUCUGAGUACGGAACAGCUCUGAAGUUAAGGGAACACCACCCACACAGGCGCAAGGCCCUUCAGUCCAGGGAGAUGAGGUCAUGUUCUGUGACGGUCAACUUGACACAGUCUAGCCUCAAUGGGCGAGAGUGUCUCAAUGAGGGGUUGUCUAGAUCAGGUUGGCCUGUGGGUUUGUGGAGAAUUGUCCCUAUUGACUUAAUUGUUGUGGGAAUGAUGUCUAAAGAGGAGGCACCAUUCCCUGGAUUUGGGCCCUGGGCUGUAGAAGAGUAGACAGUCGGCUAGCUGUCACUAACAAACAUGCGUGCAUGCAUUCUCUCCCCUCUUGACUGUGGGUGUGAUGUGAUUGACUCCUUCAAAUUCCUGCCUUGACCUCCCUGAAAUGAUGGACUGUGACCUGGAAGUAUGAGCCAAAUAAACUCCUUCUCCCCUA